GACGAACGCUGGCGGCGUGCUUAACACAUGCAAGUCGAACGGAAAGGCCCUGCUUUUGUGGGGUGCUCGAGUGGCGAACGGGUGAGUAACACGUGAGUAACCUGCCCUUGACUUUGGGAUAACUUCAGGAAACUGGGGCUAAUACCGGAUAGGAGCUCCUGCUGCAUGGUGGGGGUUGGAAAGUUUCGGCGGUUGGGGAUGGACUCGCGGCUUAUCAGCUUGUUGGUGGGGUAGUGGCUUACCAAGGCUUUGACGGGUAGCCGGCCUGAGAGGGUGACCGGCCACAUGGGGACUGAGAUACGGCCCAAACUCCUACGGGAGGCAGCGGUGGGGAAUAUGGCACAAUGGGCGGAAGCCUGAGGCAGCAACGCCGCGUGCGGAUGACGGCCUUCGGGUUGUAAACCGCUUUCGCCUGUGACGAAGCGUGAGUGACGGUAAUGGGUAAAGAAGCACCGGCUAACUACGUG
rnacentral:rRNA from 1 species